AAAAGAUAAGAAAUAGAGAAGAGAGAGAGAGAGAGAGGGAGAGAGGGAGAGAGAAUUCUUUAUUGACUACACGCAAUGUCAACAUAUAUACACAGUAAUCGAGCAAAUGCACACAGAACUAUUUGCCAAUUGAUUCUACGCAAGGUAUAUAUGGUGCUAGAGGUAUUAUUGCAAGUGCUACUAAUCUAAAAAAAAUAAAGAAACCUUUUUGCAGUCGUGUAGGUUCCUUUAAUCUCAUCAUGACUGCAAUCUAUAAGCAACAAUUGUAAUGAAAUUGAGAUUUUAAAUAAAUAUAUUAAUAAAUAAAA